CCGAGUGAGGGUCGACAGGGCGACCAGCGAAGCGGCUGAAGCGAGGCUUGGCCCAGCUGAUCGGGUGAUGCUGUGUUGCCACAUUUUCGUGUUGAUUUUCCUGUGUGGUGCUACUUUCGUGCUUGCGUUGCUACCGGGAAUAGAUCGUAGCCUGCCUUAUGACGUCAGAGCACUGAGGGAUAUAUAAAGGCAGUCAGCGGCAGGGCUUGCUUCACCUCUGUUGCACUUCUGAGAGCGAGGCAUCUGUGUCCAGAAGCAGCUCCUAUUUGAUAAGAACUUCCACUGAAAAAUCAUUUUGUGUUUGUUGAGAAAUCUUCGACUUAAACUGACGCCUACACCUCGCCUCCCUGAGGAAGCAUUGUCACAAGUUUCGCAGAGGAGCCCACUUCCGCAAACACGAUGAAGCAGUUCGACAAGGCCGAUCCUAGCUCUCUGCUUUCGCGGAUGCAGCGGAGAUCCUCGCCUGUGACCAAGGAAUCCCGAGAGAACUCCCCCAACCUGACGCACUCCAUCAAGGGCCUCUGGGGCUCCUGGAUGAACGCCGGAAGCGAUCCUGUGGGACACCAGAAGAGAAUCGUUUACCCAGGGACGUGGAACCAAGAUCUAACAUUGUCGAGAAGUUAAUAAACGGAAAACUUCAUCGACUACGAUGACUAAGAAGUAACCAAUCAAAGAGCCGGCAUGACGCCUGGCUGUAAUCUGUGGGAAGUCUGUGCACCUCUCGAGGGCUGCCGGUCGAGUAAUGAGGGUCUCCCUCUGAGUUGCCGAAUGAAAAUGAGCGAGAAGAAAGGCUCGAAGGAGGAUCAUGCAGUGCGCCUGUUCAUAACCAACAUGGAAUUUUUGAAUGCGGUGCCCUUGUCCUCAAAAGCUUUAUUUCCUUCUCUCUGUUACUAUGUCAGAAAUGAUUGCUGAAAAAUCAUGAACGAUAAUUUGUGCAUCGAUAGUGUAGUAUCGCAUUCGCUUAGUUGCCAAUGAUAUAUUUCUGUUAUUCAUUUACAUUAAAUGUGUAAUGUAUAAUACCAUGUAAUACGACUGUUUUUAUUGUCUAGACUUAUUUUUGCACAAAUGUGCUUCCAUACGUCUGGCAUUAUACGUUCAAAUAUAAUAAAAGCAAC